UGGCUCUACCAUGCAGUCGAGCGGUAGGCCUUUCGGGGUACACGAGCGGCGAACGGGUGAGUAACACGUGGGUGAUCUGCCCUGCACUUCGGGAUAAGCCUGGGAAACUGGGUCUAAUACCGGAUAUGACCUCCUAUCGCAUGGUGGGUGGUGGAAAGAUUUAUCGGUGCAGGAUGGGCCCGCGGCCUAUCAGCUUGUUGGUGGGGUAAUGGCCUACCAAGGCGACGACGGGUAGCCGACCUGAGAGGGUGACCGGCCACACUGGGACUGAGACACGGCCCAGACUCCUACGGGAGGCAGCAGUGGGGAAUAUUGCACAAUGGGCGAAAGCCUGAUGCAGCGACGCCGCGUGAGGGAUGACGGCCUUCGGGUUGUAAACCUCUUUCAGCAGGGACGAAGCGCAAGUGACGGUACCUGCAGAAGAAGCACCGGCUAACUACGUGCCAGCAGCCGCGGUAAUACGUAGGGUGCAAGCGUUGUCCGGAAUUACUGGGCGUAAAGAGUUCGUAGGCGGUUUGUCGCGUCGUUUGUGAAAACCAGCAGCUCAACUGCUGGCUUGCAGGCGAUACGGGCAGACUUGAGUACUGCACGGGAGACUGGAAUUCCUGGUGUAGCGGUGAAAUGCGCAGAUAUCAGGAGGACACCGGUGGCGAAGCGGGUCUCUGGGCAGUACUGACCCUGAGACGAAAGCGGUGGGUAGCGACAGGAUUAGAUACCUGUAGUUCCACGCCGUAACGGUGGGGCGCUAAGGUGUGGGACUUCCACGGAUCGUGGCGUAGCUUACGCAUAGCGCCGCUGGGAGUACGGCGCAGCUAACUAAGGAAUGACGGUCGUUCAAUCGUGCUGUACAUGGAUAAAUUCUA
rnacentral:rRNA from 1 species